ACGGUUAUAAAUCAACAUAUUGAUUUAUAAGCAUGGAAAUCCCCUGAGUGAAACAACGAAUUGCUGUGUGUAGUCUUUGCCCAUCUCCCACGAUGGGUUUUUUUUUAA
rnacentral:other from 1 species